UCUCCGUAGGUGAACCUGCGGAGGGAUCAUUACAGAGUUCUCGCCCGCUCGGGUAGAUCUCCCACCGACUGUUAUCGUUACUGUGUUGCUUUGGCGGGCCGCCGGGCCCCGCUCGGCCGCCGGCUCCGGCCGGCGCGCGCCCGCCAGUGGCACAGCAAACUCCGAAUGUGAGUGUCGACUGGGUACUAUAUAAUAGUUAAAACUUUCAACAGCGGAUCUCUUGGUUCUG
rnacentral:misc_RNA from 1 species